GAAAAUUAACGUUAUCUCAACCAUUCUUGCGUGGUUAUAUUGUGUAUUUAUUGUCGUAUUUAGGACUAAUAACUAAAGUAAUUGCUAUAAAGAGAGAGGGACAUUGUCUUUGGUUUGAAUUGACAUUCAAAUAAGGCUAAUACAAUUGGACCUUUUAAGGUUUUGGUACAAAUGUGUUCAAUAAACACUCGCUGCAACUCAACUGGGGGCCAGAAGAAAGCAGCAGAAACGCGCUGAAGAUGUGUUGUGUCCCCCGCAGAGGCUCGGCUGCUCCACAAAUAGCCUUUUCAAGUAAGUUGCGGCGGGCCGUGCUCUCUUCAGAUCAAAGCCGAGGACAGAGAACAUGGGCCGUGUCCAUUACACGCACCUCUGGCUGCACGGACCAUCUAAACAACGCUUGAGGUGCUGGGAGUCGGAACAAAACCAUGGCUUUGGACUGCAAGGUCAAUGAGGACAAACAAUUCCAGCAGCGGCUCUCCAGCGCAUGCAGAAGAAAGUGUGGGGCGAGGGGGGGGGGAUGGACUCGUGCGCUGGCAGAGCUGGUGUCUCCGAGCGCUGGCAUAAUUUCCAUGGCAACCCCUCUAACUAUUAAUUUUCAAUUAAAGCAGACACAAAACGCCCUGCCCCGAGCUUGAGGAAGGUGUCAAGAGCGCAGAGCAGGAAACUGGGCCUUUCUGGAGCCACUCAGAGCCACUGGGCUCUUUCAUAGUGACAAAAAUCACACUGUAUUUAUUUCACCAAAUCACACCAGUGAUACACUCACAUCCCAACUGAACACAAGCAUGCUAAAAAUUAGCCAUGUUAGAAUUUUUGGGGGGAUUAUAGCCACGUUUAUGUCCCUUGGUGGUUUAGCAGAGGUGUUACCUCCCCCUUGUGUCGGCUUAAAAUCUGACAGGAUACUCAGCUGUCAAUAAAAACCUGUUUUGAGC
rnacentral:lncRNA from 1 species